rnacentral:rRNA from 1 species
AGGGUUUGAUCCUGGCUCAGAUUGAACGCUGGCGGCAGGCCUAACACAUGCAAGUCGAGCGGUAGAGAGAAGCUUGCUUCUCUUGAGAGCGGCGGACGGGUGAGUAAUGCCUAGGAAUCUGCCUGGUAGUGGGGGAUAACGUUCGGAAACGGACGCUAAUACCGCAUACGUCCUACGGGAGAAAGCAGGGGACCUUCGGGCCUUGCGCUAUCAGAUGAGCCUAGGUCGGAUUAGCUAGUUGGUGAGGUAAUGGCUCACCAAGGCGACGAUCCGUAACUGGUCUGAGAGGAUGAUCAGUCACACUGGAACUGAGACACGGUCCAGACUCCUACGGGAGGCAGCAGUGGGGAAUAUUGGACAAUGGGCGAAAGCCUGAUCCAGCCAUGCCGCGUGUGUGAAGAAGGUCUUCGGAUUGUAAAGCACUUUAAGUUGGGAGGAAGGGUUGUAGAUUAAUACUCUGCAAUUUUGACGUUACCGACAGAAUAAGCACCGGCUAACUCUGUGCCAGCAGCCGCGGUAAUACAGAGGGUGCAAGCGUUAAUCGGAAUUACUGGGCGUAAAGCGCGCGUAGGUGGUUUGUUAAGUUGGAUGUGAAAUCCCCGGGCUCAACCUGGGAACUGCAUUCAAAACUGACUGACUAGAGUAUGGUAGAGGGUGGUGGAAUUUCCUGUGUAGCGGUGAAAUGCGUAGAUAUAGGAAGGAACACCAGUGGCGAAGGCGACCACCUGGACUAAUACUGACACUGAGGUGCGAAAGCGUGGGGAGCAAACAGGAUUAGAU